CUUUAAUCCUGUCAAGAUGACAUCAGUGUUACCGAGGGAGGACUAAGGGGGAGCCGGCUAACGCCAUUUUCACGCUCCGAGCAGUCACUCACCGUCUCGCGGAGCUGUCAUCUGCACCACCGAUUCAUUUGUUCAGUCCGUCACGUGACGCCUCGGUCUGGGCAGUGACGCGGAGCUGCUGUUGGUAUGGAACAGGACAGGAUAUUCACCUGAGCGGCUGCGGUUGGACUCAAUGUUUUGACGUAAGGCUGCUAGGUGCUAGCAUGUAGCUAACCGGACUGUAGCAUUUGAUGCAGUUAGGUCCAGCUAACCAAAAGACACCCAACCACUGGACGAGCCACUAGUUGGAAUUUCUGUUUCUUCCUUCUUCAUAUUCUUCACAACCAUAAGCUGUUGGUGACAGAUAAAGGGGACAGCUCGGGGGAAACGAGAAGGGGACAUUGGAACGACUCAGUGGAACUCCACUGGCAACGAAUGUCCCACAGAACGGAUGCGUGAGGACAUGUCCACCAUGGUGUGCGUGAAAGAGGAGGAGGACCCGGGGGAGAAACUGUCUCAGGAUGAGAUCAUCUCCCGGACCAAGCAGGUGAUCCAGGGCCUGGAAGCCCUGAAGCAGGAGCACCAUUCCAUCCUGGAGGGCCUGCUGGGCACGCUGCGCUGCCUGAAGCAGGAUGAAGAGGGAGUCCUGGUGGAGGAGAAGUCACACAUGAUCCGGAAGUCCCUGGAAAUGCUGGAGCUCGGUCUGAGCGAAGCUCAGGUGAUGAUGGCGCUGUCCAGCCACCUGAGCUCCGUUGAGUCAGAGAAGCAAAAGCUGCGGGCGCAGGUACGCAGGCUGUGCCAGGAGAACCAGUGGCUGAGGGACGAGCUGGCGGGAACGCAGCAGAAACUGCAGAAGAGCGAGCAGAGCGUAGCGCAGCUGGAGGAGGAGAAGAAGCACUUGGAGUUCAUGAACCAGCUGAAAAAGUAUGACGAGGACCUGUCCCCCUCGGAAGAGAAGGAGUGUGACUCCAGUAAAGAGACCUUGGAUGACCUCUUCCCAGAUGACCAGGAUGACCAAGCUCCAGGCAUGCAGCCAGCUCACGGUAGCGCAGCGGCUGCAGCUGCCCAGCAGGGCGGCUAUGAGAUCCCAGCCCGCCUCAGGACCCUCCACAACCUGGUGAUCCAGUACGCGUCCCAGGGGAGGUACGAGGUGGCCGUGCCGCUCUGCAAGCAGGCACUGGAAGACCUGGAAAAGACCUCUGGACACGACCACCCAGACGUAGCCACCAUGCUCAACAUCCUGGCGCUUGUUUAUAGGGAUCAGAACAAAUACAAGGAAGCAGCCAACCUACUAAAUGAUGCUCUGGCCAUCAGAGAGAAGACUCUUGGCAGAGACCAUCCAGCUGUGGCGGCUACCCUCAAUAACCUGGCUGUCUUGUAUGGGAAGAGAGGGAAGUACAAGGAGGCAGAACCUCUCUGCAAGAGGGCGCUGGAGAUCAGAGAAAAGGUGUUGGGCAAGGACCACCCAGACGUGGCCAAGCAGCUGAACAACCUCGCCCUGCUGUGCCAGAACCAGGGCAAGUAUGAGGAGGUGGAGUAUUACUACAUGAGAGCUCUGGAGAUCUACCAGACCAAACUAGGACCAGAUGACCCCAACGUGGCCAAAACCAAGAACAACCUGGCUUCCUGUUACCUAAAGCAGGGCAAAUUCAAGCAGGCUGAGACUCUGUAUAAAGAAAUCCUCACCCGCGCGCAUGAGAGGGAGUUUGGCUCUGUUGAUGAUGAGAACAAACCAAUCUGGAUGCAUGCUGAAGAGAGAGAGGAGCAAAGCAAGGGGAAACUGAAGGACAGUUCACAAUUUGGAGAAUAUGGAGGCUGGUACAAAGCAUGUAAAGUUGACAGCCCCACGGUGACCACAACCCUGAAGAACCUGGGAGCUCUUUACAGGCGGCAGGGCAAGUUUGAGGCAGCCGAGACUCUGGAGGAGGCAGCCAUGCGCUCCAGAAAGCAGGGUCUGGACAACGUGCACAAGCAACGCGUUGCCGAGGUUCUCAGUGAACCAGAGGCCGGCGACAAGCAACGCAGCCGAGAGAGUCUGACUUCAGACACGGUGAAGUACGAGAGCGGGCCGGACGGUGGCGAGGAAGUGAGUAUGAGCGUGGAGUGGAACGGGGACGGAUCGGGGUCCCUGAAGAGAAGCGGCUCCUUCAGUAAACUACGGGCGUCGCUCCGUCGAAGCAGCGAGAAACUGGUCCGCAAGCUAAAAGGCGGCAGUUCGUCACGAGACGGCGAGCACAAAACCCCCGGCAUGAAGCGGGCCAGCUCUCUGGGGGUUCUUAACUUGCCGGACAAGCCUGCCAGAGACCACUACCAAUUGUAGAUUACUGUCUGUGAUUGGAGCAACUUGACCCUGGAUGCUGCAAGAAAAGGGAAGACAGAAAAUUAAGAUUUUAAGAAAACUAUUGUGAGGAACGAAAUCAUCGUUUAAGAAAACAUCACGACCUGAGUGCCAGCCAAACCGAUCUGGCGCAUUGAAGGAAGUGAACUACCACCUCUGACCACCGGACUGCCUUCGCUGUAAAUUUCUGUUUGUAGGAAAGCUUCGCGCGUUCGUCGCUCUUCAGCAUCGCAACGCAAAGUGCUCACUGGACGGCCUCUGAACUCUGACCCCACUGCUGCAGGUUUGAGCUCCCAGCAGGAAGCCUGUGCUCCUGUCACUGCGCAUCAGGGGUGUGAAUGUACAGCUCUCUGCUGCAUGUGUGUGUCUUGUGAGAAAGCUCGUGCUACGUCAAACUGUUUCCUGGUUUUAGUGAUAUGAAAAAUAUGAAUUAUGCUGGAGUUGGUUUGAAGGCGGACACAGGCGCAGGUUUUACUUCACCAAGCCUCGGCUCAAAAUGAACUCCCCCGUUUCACCGAGAGAAACUGAAUGUCUAGUUACCGCUGGGCUGAAAGCUCCGUUUUAUGAAAUGAUGAUGUUGGUAAUGAAACAGCAAAGCAACUCUGUGGUUUAGCAGCCAUUUUCUACAAAAUACUGUCUGAAAUGAGUCACCUGCCAUCAAAACGAACGUUUCUCUCGGAAAUGCUAUGUUCAGAUUAUGAUGAUUAUUAUUAUGCACUGUUCCCUUUCUAAAAAUAUCCCUAAAUUAAAUAAUUAAUUAACCUUACAGGGGCAGUAUUAUAUAUUUUUCAGGCACAUAGCGCUAUACAUAUAUUAAAUAUGACUAAAGAAAUUUGACUUUGUAUUUAACGUCUUGAAAUUGGGCCUCUGUCUCUUUAAAUACUCCCGCUUUUUCUGAAACUCUGCCUUUAGGAAAGCAUCACAACAUUGCUCCUUUAGCAACAUUUUAACCAGUGUUGCACGGAGAAGUAACUCCUAGAACAAGUUCAGCAGAUGCUCAGUCCCACCAGGUGUUUGCUAAUUAAAUCUGGCUAGUCUGAAGGAGCUGAGUGGGGGGCUGGAAGCUUGAAACUUUUACAAGCUUCCAGCUCCAGCUCCUGAGGAGGAGCUCUGUCCUCGAAGGCGGAGCUAGGUCCACCAAGUUGUUUUUGCACAGCUGCAUGGUUGCCAUGGAGAUUAAAGCGUUUCUUAAGCAUGCAUAAAAGUAUCAAAGCAACACUCCAGAUAUGUUAUUGAUGAGGGAAUAACAUUAUAUCAUAAUAUAAAGCAUAAAAAAGUCUAUUUUACAUAAUACUGCCCCUUUAAAGGAAUAUAUUCAGGAUUUUUUUUUUUAAAGUAAGGUUUUGUUGAAAUUUUAAAAGCAAUUAGCAUUUGUUUUCUUUUAUGCCAGUCUUGGCAUUGCUGGCAUACCAUAUAGAGAAGCUGGUUGCCUGCAUGUUUCCAGGACAUAUUUGCUCUACAAAAAGGAGAUGUGAAGAGCGAAUCCUAAUGGCGUUUAUUAAAUCAAGACUCCAUCUUUGUAUCAAAGCAGGCAGAGCACACUGAGGUAAUGGCAGCCUGGUUGUGUGACCUGAAAGUGUUUCAUUUGUGUCGGUGCGUGGGUGUUUGACGUGGGUGGUGUUCAGAGCUGAGUGGUUUGUGUUGGAGUGGGUUUGACCCCUGGAGGUGCACAGAUGUUAGUUAGACCCCAAGUCAUCCCCACACCUCCAUUCCCCCAAAAUAACAGUCUUAAUAUAAUAUCUGCUUUGGUGUUUGGUGUAGCUGUUAACUUCAGUCUGUGGGAUCUACUCUGGGUUUAUGCUAAGACAAAACAGCAACAGAGUUAUGCUUAAGCCCGAAAUUAUUCACACUCCCUUCCGAUUUAGUUUUGAAGCAGUCUUUAAAUUUUCCCACCACGUUUCUUCUGACUGGAAGAAAUAUUGACGUUUUGCAGUCCCAGUUGGAAUGUGCAGGGACCUUUAGGUUGGGGUGAGCCAUCAGUCUCAAACACCUGGAGCUCGUUAAAACAUUAAAAUUGCAGUGUAAACACACAUAAAGCCGGUUAGCAUCUCCAACAGUUGCUAACCUUUACAGAUUGCUGCGCCGUCAAACAAGGUUUUUCCAUUCAGUGUUGAAAUGGGUUGCAUAUUUUUUUACAAACACAAUGUGUAAAAUAUGUGGUAAUAUAAAAUAUGUGAAAAAUAUUUGUUCUUUUCAGAAUCAAUACCCAUUUUAAAUAGUUUUACCUAUUGGGAGAUUCUGAUCUCAUUUCACAUCAGAAAAAAAAACUUUUUGCUAAAUAAAAACAGUUUUAACUCGGACUCUGCCAGGGGUAUUGAUGAGUUUGGGCUCAAUCAUAUCUACCGCAGGUAAGAUAUUAACUAUUUACAAGCUUUUAGUAGGAACCUGUUUAAAAAAAAAAAAGCAGAUAUUUGUUCAGUUAGAUUUUAAUGUUACUCCGGUGUCCAUAGAAACACGAUUGCUCCAGAAUAGCUGAAGAUUUUUAUGACUGACUGGAGAACUUAAAACUUUAAAAUCUCAACAAACCAGUUAAGUGACCCAAAACCUGUACAUGAAACCUAACAAAUGUCCAAAGUUUGUCUGAUAAAAUAUCUGCAUUAGAACAUGUCUGCCUUCCCUGUGCAAAAAGGAGAAAAGCGACAAAGAAGAGCAUGAUCUUCUUGUUUCGAGUGUCUAAGUUUAACCCUAGCUCCUCAACUAGCUCCCCAGCUAGCUCUUCAACUAGCUCUUCAACUAGCUCCAUAGCUAGCUCUUCAACUAGCUCCCCAGCUAGCUCUUCAACUAGCUCCACAGCUAGCUCUUCAACUAGCUCUUCAACUAGCUCCACAGCUAGCUCCUUAGCUAGCUCUCAGGUCGGAUUUGAGUUUAUGAAGGGACAGAAAAUCCACUUGUAUUUGAAGGACAGAAGUUGAAACUUGACUGGCCUCAUCUCAGCUGCUUCCUCUUUAAAACGUUCUGUUCUGUGUUGAUUAAAGUUUUAGCUUCUGAUAUAUGAAGUCCUGUGUUUACAUUUUUGUCAAUGCUGUUUUAUGUGUAUUUAUCCAUGCUGUGUUCUGGAAAAUCCUUAUGUUUAUGCAAAAAAACCAAAAAAACACUUCAUAUUUAUUCAUGCUGUCACCUGGAACUGAAUCAACUGGAACGUGACAGUUGAGGCUAAUUUUACACAAUUUGAAAUUAUUCAUCAGUUUUUCCAACAGUACCAGUAGAAAGAUCUCCAGUUGUUCUCAAUGUCUGAUCCGGACAAGUCUUUACUUGAGUGAAGUGCAAUUUAUGAAAAAGAUUUAAAGAUGAUUUAAAUUGUGAACGCAAGAUUUCAGUGUGUAUUCUGAUGCUUUCAUUCCAAGAGGUUUAUAGGAAGAAAAAGUUCCAGUGAUGUGUGUUAUGCUAGUCUGCUCUGCUUUAAUCGAUUCAAGCUACCUAUACAAUUCUAAUUUAAUGUGUAAAGAUCAUUUUGAACCAAAGCUGUAAGACUUAACCUUUGAUUAAACGUUCCAGCCUUCCUGA